rnacentral:rRNA from 1 species
AUGGUUCUGCUAUCACUAAGAGAUGGUCCCGCGGUGCAUUAGUUAGUUGGUGAGGUAAUGGCUCACCAAGACGAUGAUGCAUAGCCGAGUUGAGAGACUGAUCGGCCACAAUGGGACUGAGACACGGCCCAUACUCCUACGGGAGGCAGCAGUAGGGAAUCUUCCACAAUGGGCGAAAGCCUGAUGGAGCAACGCCGCGUGUGUGAUGAAGGGUUUCGGCUCGUAAAACACUGUUGUAAGAGAAGAAUGACAUUGAGAGUAACUGUUCAAUGUGUGACGGUAUCUUACCAGAAAGGAACGGCUAAAUACGUGCCAGCAGCCGCGGUAAUACGUAUGUUCCAAGCGUUAUCCGGAUUUAUUGGGCGUAAAGCGAGCGCAGACGGUUAUUUAAGUCUGAAGUGAAAGCCCUCAGCUCAACUGAGGAAUUGCUUUGGAAAGUGGAUGCCUUGAGUGCAGUAGAGGAAAGUGGAACUCCAUGUGUAGCGGUGAAAUGCGUAGAUAUAUGGAAGAACACCAGUGGCGAAGGCGGCUUUCUGGACUGUAACUGACGUUGAGGCUCGAAAGUGUGGGUAGCAAACAGGAUUAGAUACCCUGGUAGUCCACACCGUAAACGAUGAGUGCUAGGUGUUUGAGGGUUUCCGCCCUUAAGUGCCGCAGCUAACGCAUUAAGCACUCCGCCUGGGGAGUACGACCGCAAGGUUGAAACUCAAAGGAAUUUGACGGGGACCCGCACAAGCGGUGGAGCGUGUGGUUUAAUUCGAAGCAACGCGAAGAACCUUACCAGGUCUUGACAUCCCUUGACAACUCCAGAGAUGGAGCGUUCCCUUCGGGGACAAGGUGACAGGUGGUGCAUGGUUGUCGUCAGCUCGUGUCGUGAGAUGUUGGGUUAAGUCCCGCAACGAGCGCAACCCUUAUUACUAGUUGCCAGCAUUUAGUUGGGCACUCUAGUGAGACUGCCGGUGACAAACCGGAGGAAGGUGGGGAUGACGUCAAAUCAUCAUGCCCCUUAUGACCUGGGCUACACACGUGCUACAAUGGCGUAUACAACGAGUUGCCAACCCGCGAGGGUGAGCUAAUCUCUUAAAGUACGUCUCAGUUCGGAUUGUAGGCUGCAACUCGCCUACAUGAAGUCGGAAUCGCUAGUAAUCGCGGAUCAGCACGCCGCGGUGAAUACGUUCCCGGGUCUUGUACACACCGCCCGUCACACCAUGAGAGUUUGUAACACCCAAAGCCGGUGGGGUAACCUUCGGGAGCCAGCCGUCUAAGGUGGGACAGAUGAUUAGGGUGAAGUCGUAACAAGGUAACCAUAGGGG